AUUCCAGCUGAUCCUGCUGGCGGGUACUGCUAUCGGAUUUCGACUUAGCCAUGCAAGUCUAAAAACCACAGCUUGUGGUUUUGGCAAACGGCUCAGUAACACGUAGUUAACCUAACUUGAAGAAGCGUUAAACCCGGGAAACUGGGCAUAAUGCGCUAUAGUGCUUUCCAACUGGAAGGUGGAAUGCAUUAAAACAAGCAAGAAUUGCAUUGUGUUGGCUUCAGGAUGGGACUGCGGCAGAUUAGGCAGUUGGCGGGGUAAAUGCCCACCAAACCUAUAAUCUGUACGGGCAAUGAAAGUUGGAGCCCGGAGAAGGGAACUGAGAUAAGGUCCCUAGCCCUACGGGGUGCAGCAGGCGCGAAAACUUUACAAUGCGCGAAAGCGUGAUAGGGGGAAUCCGAGUGCAAGCUUUGCUUGCUUUUGCCAAGCCUAAAGAGCUUGGCGAAUAAGUGCUGGGCAAGAUACGUGCCAGCCGCCGCGGUAAUACGUACAGCACUAGUGGUAUCCACUAAUAUUGGGCCUAAAACGUCUGUAGCAGGCUUUGUAAGUCUCUGGUGAAAUCCGGCAACUUAAUUGUCGACGAAUGGCUGGAGAUACUGCAAGGCUCGAGGCCAGGAGACGUUCAGAGAAUUCUAGGGGUAGCGGUGAAAUGCUAUAAUCCUUAGAGGACUUCCAGUAGCGAAGGCGCUGAGCGAGAAUGGGCCUGACUGUGAGAGACGAAAGCUGGGGGAGCGACCCGGAUUAGAUACCCGGUUAGUCCCAGCCGUAAACGAUGUUGACUAGGUGUGCUAGCACUCAAUGAAGUGCGGGCGUGCCGUCGCGAAGGCAUUAAGUCAACUGCCUGGGAAGUACGGUCGCAAGGCUGAAACUUAAAGGAAUUGGCGGGGACGCACUACAAGGGGUGGAGGCUGCGGUUUAAUCGGACUCAACGCCGAACAACUCACCAGGGGCGACAGCAGAAUGAUGGACAGUCUAAAGGGCUUUCCUGACACGCUGAGAGGUGUUGUAUGGUCAUCGUCAGCUCGUACUUUGAAGCGUCCUGUUAACUCAGGCAACGGGCGAGACCCCUACCAUUAGUUGCAAGUUUCAGAGCAAUCUGGAGCGCACUCUAAUGGGACAGCUGAUGCAAAUCAGAGGAAGGAAGGGUCCACGGUAGAUCUGUAUGGCCCGAAUCUCCUGGGCUACACGCGUCCUACAAUGGUGCAGACAAAGGGCUGCUAACCCGAAAGGGCACGCUAAUCCCCUAACCUGCACCUCAGUUCGAAUCGAGGGCUGGAACCCGCCCUCGUGAACGAUUGGAAUCCCUAGUAAUCGCGCGUCAACAUCACGCGGUGAAUAUGUCCCUGCGUCUUGCACACACCGCCCAUCAAGCCAUUCGAGUAGAGUUUGAAUGAACAGCGCUUCUUCGGAGUGUUGUGAUUUUAUAUUCUGCAAGAAGGGCUAAGUUGUAACAAGGUGUCCGUAGGGGAACCUGCGGACGGAUCACCUCC
rnacentral:rRNA from 1 species